GACGAACGCUGGCGGCGUGCUUAACACAUGCAAGUCGAACGGAAAGGCCCUGCUUUUGUGGGGUGCUCGAGUGGCGAACGGGUGAGUAACACGUGAGUAACCUGCCCUUGACUUUGGGAUAACUUCAGGAAACUGGGGCUAAUACCGGAUAGGAGCUCCUGCUGCAUGGUGGGGGUUGGAAAGUUUCGGCGGUUGGGGAUGGACUCGCGGCUUAUCAGCUUGUUGGUGGGGUAGUGGCUUACCAAGGCUUUGACGGGUAGCCGGCCUGAGAGGGUGGCCGGCCACAUUGGGACCGAGAUACGGCCCAGACUCCUACGGGAGGCAGCAGUGGGGAAUAUUGCACAAUGGGCGGAAGCCUGAUGCAGCAACGCCGCGUGCGGGAUGACGGCCUUCGGGUUGUAAACCGCUUUCGCCUGUGACGAAGCGUGAGUGACGGUAAUGGGUAAAGAAGCACCGGCUAACUACGUG
rnacentral:rRNA from 1 species